CGGGUUCCAUCCCGGGAUGGCAAUCAGGGGAUACGGUUUUCAAGGUUUUCAAAAAAUAUCUACAAUAAAAUUAAUAAUAAUAAUAAGGGUAUUAGGGAAAUUUUCUUAGAACCAUCCUGUCUAGUAAUUAUUAACUAAAUUUUGUUUUUUUAUGACGUGAGUAAAAUCAUUGUCAUUCGUCGUUUGGCUAACAUGGAUCUACCGGAUGUUCAGCAGAUAUGUGAUGUCUCAGUUUUUCAGAUUGCUCGCAGGUUUAUCAGUUUCUCUAAUCAUUAUGCCGAGGUUGUCCAUGAUUUGAUAUGUGACGUUUCUUCCACUACCCAGUUUCAAGCCAUCGCUCCACGAAUUUUGGAUGCAUGAGUUUAUGUGUUAUGAGGUUUGAGCAAUAGGUUGGCAAUGUGUUAUGAUGUAGGAGCUAUUUAUAUUCAUCGAGUUGUACAAGUUGUCCUUAGAGGGGUCUAGUCGUUCAAAG
rnacentral:lncRNA from 1 species